UCGCCCUUAGAGUUUGAUCCUGGCUCAGAUUGAACGCUGGCGGAAUGCUUUACACAUGCAAGUCGAACGUGAAAGGGACUUCGGUCCUGAGUAGAGUGGCGCACGGGUGAGUAACGCGUAGGUAAUCUACCUCUGCAUCUGGGAUAACACCCCGAAAGGRAUGCUAAUACCGGAUACACUUAUGGGUCGCAAGACCUAUAAGGAAAGGAGACCUCUCCUUGGAAGUUUCUGUGUAGAGAUGAGCCUGCGUCCCAUUAGCUAGUUGGUAGGGUAAUGGCCUACCAAGGCGA
rnacentral:rRNA from 1 species